CGGGACGUAGGUCGGAGUAACGGACGUACGAGGAACCCGUUAGCCGUUCCACAGGGGGACGUAACGAAGUUGGAAACGACUAGCUAAUACCGCAUGAUGCGUUGGAGCCGCAUGACUCUGACGUCAAAGAUUUAUCGCUGGAAGAUGGCCUCGCGUCUGAUUAGCUAGUUGGUGAGGUAACGGCCCACCAAGGCGACGAUCAGUAGCCGGACUGAGAGGUUGGCCGGCCACAUUGGGACUGAGAUACGGCCCAGACUCCUACGGGAGGCAGCAGUGGGGAAUAUUGGGCAAUGGACGCAAGUCUGACCCAGCAACGCCGCGUGAAGGAAGAAGGCUUUCGGGCUGUAAACUUCUUUUAAGGGGGAAGAGCGGAAGAAGGUACCCCUUGAAUAAGCCACGGCUAACUACGUG
rnacentral:rRNA from 1 species